AGUGACAUUGAGCUGUCUACCAAGCCUUUAAAAAAAAUCGUUGUUUUCAAUUUAAGGUAGGUGAAUGUGGAUACUCACUUCUUAAACAUGAAACAAGUGAGCCUACUUGAAGAGGAGGAGACAGUUCUGAAGCCUGACAAGGUGACACACACAGAGGAACACAUCAGACGGAGGAAAGGCUUUACAGAAAUCCCACGUUGUGCAAGUAUGAAGCCAUGUGACGUGUGCUCUGCGGUUGAAGAUGGUUGGAAAGCCCUACUUCACACAGUCCAACGAAUCAUGCAGCUCUGGGGGAAAGGACAUAGCUACUUGUAGUUUGAAUGAAAACUGCCCCCAUAGACCGACAUACUGGAAUACUUGGCCCCCCAUCUGUGGCACUGUUGGUGAAAGCGAUGGAGCCUUUAAGACGCCCGGCUGGAAGAAAUUUGUUUGGGGUAGGGGCAGACUUUGAGGAUGUGUAGCCUGCUUCCCUUCACGCGCUCUCAGCUUCCUGUGUGUGCAUGAAAAUGUAACUUCUGCUUCCGCUGCCCCGCCACACCUUCCAGGUCACUAUGCACUUUACCUUUCUGGAACCUUGAGCUAAAAUGUACUCUCUUCCUUGAGCAGGUUUUAGCCACAGAAUUUUACCAGAGCAACAGUAACUGACAUACUGUUUUCCUUCUCCUUUUUGACUGCCCAAACUGAAUUGAAG
rnacentral:lncRNA from 1 species